UCACAAUUUGCCAUUAUAUAAGGAGGCUAAGGUCAUGAAACAUGUUUUUUUUUUCUUUUUACAACCCUGUAGUCCCUUAAUUCAAGGUAUAGCCCAGAUGACUGGAUGGAGCUGAGAGUUUACUGCCUGGAGGCCCUUCCUGAUGCCUAUGUGGAGUUUGCUGCAGAUAUUUUUUUCUGCCCUAAGAGAGAAACAUCUGUUGCUACCUAGGAUUGAGCUCUCAACCUUCCAAGUGGAGCAUCUUCACUACUGGCCCACCACAUCAAAGCCUUUCUAAUUAGACUGAGACUAGAGAGUGGAUGACUAGAGAGAUGGCACACAGCUACAUUUGCCAGCAGGAAAUAAGGUCCUUGCCAGGCUGUCUGUUGAAUCUUUAUCUUGAAAUUAUUUGGAUGAAAAGCCCUCUGGAACCUGGAAAAGAUUUCCAGCUUCCAUUUGAUGCUGCUCAACAUCUACAUGACACCGAUUGGAGAAGCCAUCAAAGAUUUUGGAGUGGAUUCCACUUGAGUAUUGAAGAUAUCUACUUAUAUUGCUUCUUGUUAUCUCCAAGGAAGUAUUUGUACCACUGACUAACUUUAUUAGUAACUGGUUGACAUUAAAUCCAAACUGACUGGAAAUGCCAUGGAAAAGUAGAAAACUGGAUUAGAAAUGUGGAGGGUGUUUCAUUUCCUCCUGAGGGAGUGGGUCCAUAUUCUGGGAAUGCACCUUGAUUAUCAAUUGUCACCGAAUCUGCAGGUUGAGGCUGUCAUGAGGAGUACUUUUGCAUAAUUAAGAUUAGUAUUCCAGCCAGCUUUGGUUCCCUAUUGGAAUGUGUUAUAUAUAGAUUACUUUGAAAUUACUGAAAAAAGAUAACUAGUCAACUAAUGUAACUGGCCAUGCUCUAGGAAUCCCAUGAUACCUACAAUACAGAAGAACUGCAUUGCCUAUCAAAUGUUUAUUGGACAAAUUUAAGAUGUUGCUAUUGCCCUGCUAUCAGGGCUUUGAACCUGAAGGUCUGCCUCUCUGAUUAUAAACUUAUUUGGCUACUGAAAUAUGCAGAAAAUGCUCUUUUAAGAAUACUGUGUCAGGUUCCAAGUAAUGCACCCAUUACAAAUCAAACUCCUUUCUUUCUUUGUUUUAAUUUAUAUGCCGUCCUUCUCCAGAGACUCAGGGCGGCUUACAAUGCAUUGCAUUCCCUCAAAGAACAAAUUUAUUUAGAUACAACAUCUUGGCACUACUAAUAGUUUCUCAAUUUUCCAAAACAAACUGUCACAUUGUCCAACCAAGAUAAGAGCUAGUUGCUUGGUGACUUCUCUCCUCCUCCUCCAGUUAGCCAGCUAUUGGAAUGUACUUGACUCAUCAGCUAACUAUGUUGUUUUGGCUGAAGGCUCUAUCCUCCUCGGUUCUCCCCACUUCAGCUUCGAACUGUGCCAAACUGAAUUCAUGUCAGAGUACCCAAGGAUACAAACAAUCCCACACCCCAAUCAAAUUCAGACUUGAUAUACUGACUUUGGUCCUGAUAUACGGGAACAUAAUUACAAAAUUUACAUAAUUUUGACUGGGCUAGCAAUGCAAAUGAAGAUGCAUUUGGCUGUCCUUGCUAGCAUUUAAAAAAUCUGUAAAAAUAUUUUUAACUAUCAGUUGAUUUUCUUCUUAGUAGUGUAGUAGAAUCUUUUGUAUAUUGCUUUGUGAAAUUUUUUGAGCAUUUGAGCAAAAAGCAAUGUACAAGUAGAAUUUAUUAAUAAAUUAUGCAAUAAAGUCUGGAAAAAACCACCAGAAAAAGGCAAGUUUAUUGUAAAUAGUCUAAUUAUUAAAUAGACAUAGAGGAUUUCUCCCAGUUCUUAUUUGCAUAUUUUUCAAGUUCUGUACUAGCAUAUCAACAACUGUACUGAACUAUAUAAUUCUAUUUUAUGCAGAUCAAACUGUUUAAAGAAAGCUCAGUCUGCCUAUUCAUAGAUGAAUAUAUUCUGCUUCCAUAAAUAUGCAUACAUAUGAGCGCAUACUCAUGAGUAUGAUUCAAUUAUUAGCUUCUUACAAUAAUUUUAUUAUCAUGAAAUUAGAUCAUAUAAUAUCAAUAUCAUCCAUCUAAUAAUUUGAAAUUACUUAGGCUCAGAAUAUGUGAAGGACCCUGUUACUUGGCUGUACUAUUAGUUGAUUAAUAAUCAUGGUUGCUAUUUGUAUUUGUUAAUUUUAUGGAAAUUUUAAUUUUUCUAAUGUUUUUAAAUUGUUCUAAUUGUUUUAUAAUUUUAGAAUUUUAAGCCACCCAGAUUUACUUGGUUGAGAUGGGUGGAUUUAGAGGUUGAAUAAAUAAAUAAAUUGGCCAUUCUAAUUUUCAUAGACAAUACAGUCCUGAAAUUCUAAAUGCUGAAUAUUAUUUGCCUGAUUCAGAUGAACUCCGGGGACAGGAUUCUGGUAUGGAUAAAGAGGAUUCAAUAAAUACAUGCACGAUACAGGCUAUUUGCAAUGUGAUUCUCAUGUGUCCUAGAACAUAAAAAACUGACACAAAAUGUACAUGUACACAAAAUGUAUGAAUGUUCUAAUGAGAAUGUUAUCACAUUACUAUUGUCUGCUGUGAUAGAAUAAAAGGAAAUAUGGCACUAAAG